ACUAAAACACUAUUUUCAUAUUAUAAAAGGACUUACAAGACACUUACAAACCUUGACGCUUCAAACUUUGACACAAACAAAAUGACACCCUAAAAUUGCUUCACUUGAGAAGAAGGAUACAAUGGAAUGGAUACUAUGGAGAGAAGAAAGAGAUUAGGAGACGAGACGAAGAUUGGAAAGAGCCCGCAGGAUUUCCGGAGGAGGGGAAGAAGCUUAGAAAGAGCCCGCAGGAUUUCUAAAGCCAAAAACCACUCAGGUUUUAUCCCAAAAAUAACUUACAUCAUUCUCUUCUUUUAUAACAUCCUCUAACAUCUACUAUAUAUAGGCAUAAGAAGGGAACUAAACAGCCCAAAACAGCCAAUAAAUUCCAGCACAGGAAACAGAAAAUGACAGCAGCCAAAGGAAAUAAGCCACGGAAAUACCAAGGCAGAGAAUGCCAAAAAGCCAUUUCCAAGAUAAGUUACAGGUUUUCCAAGGCAGCAAUUAAAAGCCCACAGAUUCCAGCAAAGAGCAGCAAAGAGGAUGCCAAACGGACAAACCAUUUCCAAGAUAAGCUACAGGUUUUCCAAGGCAGCAAUUAAAAGCCCACGGAUUCCAGCAAAGAGCAGCAAAGAGGAUGCCAAACGGCAUCAUUAAUUCCACGGUUUCCAGCAUCAGAGAAUGCCAAAGGUUAGAGCCUAUUUCAAUAUACCAAGGCAGCUUUUUAAAAGGAAAUAAAAGCUACGGUUUC